CCUACGGGGUGCAGCAGUGAGGAAUAUUGGUCAAUGGACGAGAGUCUGAACCAGCCAAAUAGCGUGAAGUAUGACUGCCCUAUGGGUUUUAAACUUCUUUUAUAUGGAAAUAAAAUGUUCCCCUUGUGGUAUUUUGUAUCUACCAUAUGAAUAAUGAUCGGCUAAUUCCGUGCCAGCAGCCGCGGUAAUACGGAGGAUCCGAGCUUUAUCCGGAGUUAUUGGGUUUAAAGGGAGCGUAUGUGGAUUGUUAAGUCAGUUGUGAAAUUUUGCGGCUCAACCGUAAAAUUGCAGUUGAAACUGGGAGUCUUGAGUACAGUAGAGGUGGGCGGAAUUCGUGGUGUAGCGGUGAAAUGCUUAGAUAUCACGAAGAACUCCGAGUGCGAAGGCAGCUCACUGGACUGCAACUGACACUGAGGCUCGAAAGUGUGGGUAUCAAACAGGAUUAGAUACCCUAGUAGUC
rnacentral:rRNA from 1 species